rnacentral:rRNA from 1 species
CCUACGGGAGGCAGCAGUGAGGAAUAUUGGUCAAUGGCCGGAAGGCUGAACCAGCCAAGUCGCGUGAGGGACGACUGCCCUAUGGGUUGUAAACCUCUUUUAUAAGGGAAGAAUAAAUGCUACGUGUAGCAUGAUGCCUGUACCUUAUGAAUAAGCAUCGGCUAACUCCGUGCCAGCAGCCGCGGUAAUACGGAGGAUGCGAGCGUUAUCCGGAUUUAUUGGGUUUAAAGGGUGCGUAGGCGGUUUUUUAAGUUAGUGGUAAAACGUCGGGGCUUCACCUUGAUUUGCCAUUAAUACUGUAAGACUCGAGUUCAGACGAGGUAGGCGGAAUAAGUUAAGUAGCGGUGAAAUGCUUAGAUAUAACUUAGAACUCCGAUAGCGAAGGCAGCUUACCAGACUGCGACUGACGCUGAAGCACGAGAGCGUGGGUAGCGAACAGGAUUAGAUACCCCAGUAGUC